UGGGGAAUAUUGGACAAUGGGCGAAAGCCUGAUCCAGCCAUGCCGCGUGUGUGAAGAAGGUCUUCGGAUUGUAAAGCACUUUAAGUUGGGAGGAAGGGCAGUAGCGAAUACCUUGGCGGUUUUACGGUACCGACAGGAUAAGCAACGGCUAACUCUGUUGCAGCAGCCGCGGUAAUACAGAGGGUGCAAGCGUUAAUCGGAAUUACUGGGCGUAAAGCGCGCGUAGGUGGUUCGUUAAGUUGAAUGUGAAAGCCCCGGGCUCAACCUGGGAACUGCAUCCAAACCGGGCGAGCUAGAGUAGGGCAGAGGGUGGUGGAAUUUCCUGUGUAGCGGUGAAAUGCGUAGAUAUAGGAAGGAACACCAGUGGCGAAGGCGACCACCUGGGCUCAUACUGACACUGAGGUGCGAAAGCGUGGGGAGCAAACAGG
rnacentral:rRNA from 1 species